rnacentral:rRNA from 1 species
UUUUGCAUAAUGAGCCUACGAGUUACCGUUGCUAGCAAGGUUAAGUGAUUAAGUCACGGAUCCCGUAGCGAAAGCGAGUCUGAAUAGGGCGCUUUAGUUAGUAGUGGUAGACGCGAAACCGUGUGAUCUACCCAUGGGCAGGUUGAAGCUGUAGUAACAUACAGUGGAGGACCGAACCGGUUGACGUUGAAAAGUCUUCGGAUGACCUGUGGGUAGGGGUGAAAGGCCAAUCAAACUCGGAAAUAGCUCGUACUCCCCGAAAUGCAUUUAGGUGCAGCGUUGAUUUAUAGUUUUAUAGAGGUAGAGCUACUGAUUGGAUGCGGGGGCUUCACCGCCUACCAAUUCCUGACAAACUCCGAAUGCUAUAAAAUGUUGAUCAGCAGUGAGGGCAUGGGUGCUAAGGUCCAUGUCCGAGAGGGAAAGAACCCAGACCAUCAGCUAAGGUCCCCAAAUAUAUGUUAAGUUGAAAAAACGCGGUUGAACUGCUUUGACAGCUAGGAUGUUGGCUUGGAAGCAGCCAUUCAUUUAAAGAGUGCGUAACAGCUCACUAGUCGAGCGGUUCGGCAUGGAUAAUAAUCGGGCAUAAACAUAUUACCGAAGCUAUGGAUUUAUAAUUUAUUAUAACUGGUAGGGGAGCAUUCUAUAGGUGUAGAAGGUGUACUGUGAGGUAUGCUGGAACGUAUAGAAAAGAAAAUGUAGGCAUAAGUAACGAUAAUGCGGGCGAGAAACCCGCACUCCGAAAGACUAAGGUUUCCUCAGCUAUGCUAAUCAGCUGAGGGUUAGUCGGGACCUAACGCGAACCCGAAAGGGGUAGUGGAUGGACAACAGGUUAAUAUUCCUGUACCUGCUCACACUAAAAGUGACGGAGGCGAAAAGUUAGUGCGUACUGACGGAAUAGUACGUUGAAGCGAGUGGUAACACCGCGAUAGUACACUGAGACUACGGUCAAGGUGAUAAUCUAGCAAAUCGACUUCCAAGAAAAGCAAGUGAAGCAGCCCGUACCCUAAACCGACACAGGUAGUUGGGAUGAGAAUUCUAAGGAGCUCGAGAGAUUCAUGGUUAAGGAACUAGGCAAAAUAGACCCGUAACUUCGGGAGAAGGGUCGCCCCACUUCGGUGGGGCCGCAGUGAAAAGGUCCAGGCGACUGUUUAUCAAAAACACAGGGCUAUGCUAAAUUGAAAGAUGACGUAUAUGGCCUGACACCUGCCCGGUGCUGGAAGGUUAAGUGGUGGGCUUAGAGGUUUACCUCGAAGGUCUAAAAUGAAGCCCCAGUAAACGGCGGCCGUAACUAUAACGGUCCUAAGGUAGCGAAAUUCCUUGUCGGGUAAGUUCCGACCUGCACGAAUGGUGCAACGAUCUGGACACUGUCUCAACCAUGAGCUCGGUGAAAUUGUAGUAUCGGUGAAGAUGCCGAUUACCCGCUGUGGGACGAAAAGACCCCGUGCACCUUUACUAUAGCUUAGUAUUGGUUUUGGAUAAGUAAUGUGUAGGAUAGGUGGGAGACUUUGAAGCGGCAUCGCUAGGUGUUGUGGAGUCAUUGUUGAAAUACCACCCUUUGCUUAUCUAGAGUCUAACCUUCAUUCGAAGGGACAGUGCUUGGUGGGUAGUUUGACUGGGGUGGUCGCCUCCAAAAGAGUAACGGAGGCUUCUAAAGGUUCCCUCAGUACGGUUGGUAAUCGUACGUAGAGUGCAAUGGCAUAAGGGAGCUUGACUGAGAGACCUACAAGUCGAUCAGGUACGAAAGUAGAGCAUAGUGAUCCGGUGGUUCCGUAUGGAAGGGCCAUCGCUCAAAGGAUAAAAGGUACGCCGGGGAUAACAGGCUGAUCUCCCCCAAGAGCUCAUAUCGACGGGGGGGUUUGGCACCUCGAUGUCGGCUCGUCACAUCCUGGGGCUGGAGAAGGUCCCAAGGGUUGGGCUGUUCGCCCAUUAAAGUGGCACGCGAGCUGGGUUCAGAACGUCGUGAGACAGUUCGGUCUCUAUCUACAGUGGGCGUUAGAAAUUUGAGUGGAUCUGACUCUAGUACGAGAGGACCGAGUUGGACCAACCUCUGGUGUAUCUGUUGUUCCGCCAGGAGCAUUGCAGAGUAGCUACGUUGGGAAGGGAUAAGCGCUGAAAGCAUAUAAGCGCGAAACCCACCACAAGAUGAGAUUUCUUUAAAGGGUCGUGGGAGAUGACCACGUUGAUAGGCUAUAGGUGUAAAGGCAGUAAUGUCAUAGCCGAGUAGUACUAAUAACCCAUAGGCUUAUUGUACGCCUGUUUUUUUAUAAGAGUACAAGAAUUAUUAUUAGGAUUUAUAUGUAUGUC